rnacentral:rRNA from 1 species
CCAGCAGCCGCGGUAAUUCCAGCUCCAAUAGCGUAUAUUAAUGUUGUUGCGGUUAAAAAGCUCGUAGUUGAAUCUCUGAUCGGGAUGACCUCCUCACCUUAGGGCGAUGGUAGCUGUUGACCUGAUCAUCCUCCUAGAACACGAUGUCUCUUAACCGGGUCAUUCGUGCUAGGACUAUUACUUUGAGGAAAUUAGAGUGUUCAAAGCAGGCGUUCGCCCUGAAUACAUUAGCAUGGAAUAGCACGAUAGGACUCUGGCCUAUUCUGCUGGUCUGUAGGACCGGAGUAAUGAUUAAGAGGGACAGUCGGGGGCAUUCGUAUUUCAUUGUCAGAGGUGAAAUUCUUGGAUUUAUGAAAGACGAACUUCUGCGAAAGCAUUUGCCAAGGAUGUUUUCAUUGAUCAAGAACGAAAGU